rnacentral:lncRNA from 1 species
AAAGUUGGGUUAAAACCAUCAGGACCUGGUGAUUUAUCCGGGUGCAUCUGAAAUAAAGCUUGUUGUAAUUCAAUUUUGGUCAGGGGUGCCAUAAGUAAAUGAUUAUCCUCCUCUGUCACCCUUUGCUGGAUAAGAUUAAGCACAGGUUCAUGAAUACCACUUAUAUUUCUGAAGAGAGCAUUAAAAUAAUUCUUAGCUACCCCGCACAAAUCCUCUUGAGUAUGAACUGCA